rnacentral:rRNA from 1 species
ACGAACGCUGGCGGCGUGCUUAACACAUGCAAGUCGAACGGUGAAGCUCCGGCUUGCUGGAGUGGAUCAGUGGCGAGCGGGUGAGUAACACGUGAGCAACCUGCCCCUGACUCUGGAAUAAGCGCUGGAAACGGCGUCUAAUACUGGAUACGAGAAGGGUCCGCAUGGGCACUUUCUGGAAAGUUUUUCGGUUGGGGAUGGGCUCGCGGCCUAUCAGCUUGUUGGUGAGGUAAUGGCUCACCAAGGCGACGACGGGUAGCCGGCCUGAGAGGGCGACCGGCCACACUGGGACUGAGACACGGCCCAGACUCCUACGGGAGGCAGCAGUGGGGAAUAUUGCACAAUGGGCGAAAGCCUGAUGCAGCGACGCCGCGUGAGGGAUGACGGCCUUCGGGUUGUAAACCUCUUUCAGCAGGGAAGAAGCGAAAGUGACGGUACCUGCAGAAGAAGCACCGGCUAACUACGUG